UACGAAGGGGGCUAGCGUUGCUCGGAAUCACUGGGCGUAAAGCGCACGUAGGCGGAUUGUUAAGUCAGGGGUGAAAUCCUGGAGCUCAACUCCAGAACUGCCUUUGAUACUGGCGACCUUGAGUCCGGGAGAGGUGAGUGGAACUGCGAGUGUAGAGGUGAAAUUCGUAGAUAUUCGCAAGAACACCAGUGGCGAAGGCGGCUCACUGGCCCGGUACUGACGCUGAGGUGCGAAAGCGUGGGGAGCAAAC
rnacentral:rRNA from 1 species